UGGGAGAGGUAGGUGGAAUUCUUGGUGUAGGGGUAAAAUCCGUAGAGAUCAAGAGGAAUACUCAUUGCGAAGGCGACCUGCUGGAACAUUACUGACGCUGAUGCGCGAAAGCGUGGGGAGCAAACAGGAUUAGAUACCCUGGUAGUCCACGCCCUAAACGAUGAAUGCUAGUUGUUGCCCUGCUUGUCAGGGCAGUAAUGCAGCUAACGCAUUAAGCAUUCCGCCUGGGGAGUACGGUCGCAAGAUUAAAACUCAAAGGAAUAGACGGGGACCCGCACAAGCGGUGGAGCAUGUGGUUUAAUUCGAAGAUACGCGAAGAACCUUACCUAGGCUUGACAUUGAUAGAAUCCGCUAGAGAUAGUGGAGUGCUGGCUUGCCAGAGCUUGAAAACAG
rnacentral:rRNA from 1 species